UACGGAGGGUGCAAGCGUUGUCCGGAUUUAUUGGGCGUAAAGAGCGUGUAGGCGGCUAGGUAGGUCCGUUGUGAAAACUCGAGGCUCAACCUCGAGACGCCGGUGGAAACCAUCUAGCUAGAGUCCGGAAGAGGAGAGUGGAAUUCCUGGUGUAGCGGUGAAAUGCGCAGAUAUCAGGAAGAACACCCGUGGCGAAGGCGGCUCUCUGGGACGUGACUGACGCUGAGGCGCGAAAGCGUGGGGAGCGAACAGG
rnacentral:rRNA from 1 species